GAGCAAUUGAAAGAUAAUCGUACUGGAAGUACUCUUUCAUCAAUUUCAAACAUUUCAUCAGGGUUAGAAGAUUUUAGUGAAGAACUGACAGCACAAACCAGUAGUUUAUCUGGAUUAAGUUUAGGAACAGUAUUGCCAGUGGUCAAUGAUGCAUUUGCUUUACUAAAUCAAUCACCUAUU